GUUUUCUGUCCAGGGCUGUGCCGGUGCCCUCGGACAACUUUUCAAAGAUUUUAAGAUUGCAGCGGUUGCAAGAGGGACGAGGAGUGGGGCAAAAGGUAGCAGCUGCUUUACUGAGUCUUUUCUUCAAGUGAAACUGCUCCACAGAUCCUGAUUGACCCGGCCCGGAUUGACCUGCAGGCCGGGUCAAGUGGCACCCAUCGUGGGGCUCCUGGCACAAAGGGCUCAACGAGGGAGCCGUCCUGAGAUGCAUGCAUAAGAAGGGAACUAAGAGUUUUGUGACCAACGCUAUGUGGGAGCCUGCUGCACCACUUGAGUCACGAAAAUGCCAAACCGAUGGAUUACAUGAUGCCUUCUCGAGAUCCUCCUUGGACCACCCUUGACCAAUAGUGGAUUUGGACCUCCUGUCACAAAUGGCCUCUAACCCCUUCUCCACACUCUGGGGAGGGCUCUUCCCCUACCUAGCGCCCCUCCUGGGGCCUCUAGUUGCCUUGUUGCUUCUCCUCUCUGUGAGUUCUUGUAUUUUUCAGAGGAUUAUGAUGCUCAUUAGUAACCGGAUAGACGUGUUUAUGGCAAAGCCCAUUCAGGUACACUAUCACCAGCUGGAGAUGGCAGAUCAACAAACCUACCGGGAAAGAAUUCCCACGAAUGGCCCAUAUGACGAUGUGGCCUAACUGCCCUGAGGCAAUGGACAGGCAGCCAGAGCCGGGCAACUAGGACAUACAUGCUACAACACCAGCUGCCUAAGACAGGCACAGGACCAACUGCUGUCCUGCAAGCCCAUGACAGGUAAGGCCCAGCUGGGUCCAUGUAAUGAGGUCCUUGACCUAAGACAGGAGCUGUCCUCACAGGGCCUGCCAUACUCCUGACUUAAAAAUAUAGAAAGGGAGGAGAUGUAGGGAGCGGUGUGACCGCCCCGCUGCUGUCUCCCCGCCUCUCUCUCCUAUGGGCACAUAAUGCACCUACAUUAACCAUAAUCCUCUCUUGCUUAUAUCACAUACAUGGACGUGACGAUGAUCCAUCAGAGAUCACCCCAUAGCCUCUUCCUGUCCCACUGGCCCGCCCCUGCCCUAUAAAAGCAGCGACCACUUUAUCAAUAAAUGAGUCUUG